CUCAUUAUAUAAGUUAUCGUUUAUUUGAUAGCACCUUACUACUUGAAUACCCGUGGUAAUUCUAGAGCUAAUACAUGCUAAAAAUCCCGACUUCGAAAGGGAUGUAUUUAUUAGAUUAAAAACCAAUGCCCCCCGGGGCUCUCUGGUAUUCAUGAUAACUUCGCGAAUCGCAUGGCCUUGCGCCGGCGAUGGCUCAUUCAAAUUUCUUCCCUAUCAACUUUCGAUGUUUGGGUAGUGGCCAAACAUGGUUGCAACGGGUAACGGAGGGUUAGGGCUCGACCCCGGAGAAGGAGCCUGAGAAACGGCUACUACAUCCAAGGAAGGCAGCAGGCGCGCAAAUUACCCAAUCCCGACUCGGGGAGGUAGUGACAAUAAAUACUGAUACAGGGCUCUUUUGGGUCUUGUAAUUGGAAUGAGUACAAUUUAAAUCCCUUAACGAGGAACAAUUGGAGGGCAAGUCUGGUGCCAGCAGCCGCGGUAAUUCCAGCUCCAAUAGCGUAUAUUAAAGUUGUUGUGGUUAAAAAGCUCGUAGUUGAACCUUGGGCCUGGCUGGCCGGUCCGCCUCACCGCGUGUACUGGUCCGGCCGGGCCUUUCCCUCUGUGGAACCCCAUGCCCUUCACUGGGUGUGGCGGGGAAACAGGACUUUUACUUUGAAAAAAUUAGAGUGCUCCAGGCAGGCCUAUGCUCGAAUACAUUAGCAUGGAAUAAUGAAAUAGGACGUGCGGUUCUAUUUUGUUGGUUUCUAGGACCGCCGUAAUGAUUAAUAGGGACAGUCGGGGGCAUCAGUAUUCAGUUGUCAGAGGUGAAAUUCUUGGAUUUACUGAAGACUAACUACUGCGAAAGCAUUUGCCAAGGAUGUUUUCAUUAAUCAGGAACGAAAGGUAGGGGAUCGAAGACGAUCAGAUACCGUCGUAGUCUUAACCAUAAACUAUGCCGACUAGGGAUCGGACGAUG
rnacentral:rRNA from 1 species